rnacentral:lncRNA from 1 species
CUCCUUUAAAUUUAACUCUAUUCUCAACCUUAAAUAUGCUAUCUCUCUAACCAUCUUAGUUCUUCCAUUGUGGUAUCUUGGGAACACAUUCAAUCUGUACUCAUAAAAUUCAUAUUAAAGUCUCCCUUUUAGUACUUAUUACUUGCUGUCUUAAACAAGAGAUUUAAUUUUAUUGUUCCUUGGCUUCAUCAACUAUAUUAUGAAAGGAUUAGAGUAGUUCUGAGAUCUUUUUCAUAUCAAUGUUUACAAUUCUGUGACCAGAGAACAUUCAGUAUCAUCUAACCUUUUAACAUCACUCAUUUUCAAUCUCUAUUUCUGAACAUUAGAAAAUAUGAAACAAAAUUUAGUUUUACACUACAAGGCAGAUAUAAUUGGAUUUCACUUAGAGUACUGACUUGAAGCUAAAUUAAAUAAGUAAAAUGCAUUGUUAUUAUACUUCUUUUGCAAUUUUCAUCCAUAAAAGGUAAAAUAAAUUUGUACUUACAUUUCUUUUUUGUUGGAAAGAUUAUUUGAAAUGGAGAAUCAAGAAAAAUUAAAAUUGUUCAAGCUCUAUUCAAGACAUCCUUGUCAGAAUCAUUAUCCAUUCAUUAUCAUUUUUUGUGGAAUGGUUUGACAUUUCCUUCUUCAGAGCUUUUUAUAACUGAGGAAAUCAUGACAAAAACGGUUAAGUGACUUCUUCAAGGUCACAGACACUAUUAAACUCAGGAAGAGGCCUGUCAUUGUACUACAUAUCUCCCCAAAUAUAGAUUUAUUUCCAAAUUGUUACAAGCACACAUUAUAUUGUUUCCUACCUUCAUCCCUUAGGCGGUACAACAUUGAUUGGUAAGCCAUAGCUCCUUAAGGAAAAUGUUUGCACAGUAUCUUUAAGUGAUUACCUGGUGCCAAUUCUCUGUCUUCCCACUUGUAGAGAAAUAUAGGUUAAUUCAUCAAAGUUAAAGGAACAUAUGUUACAAUUACAAUUUGGACUAAAUUCUUAUGAAUCUAUAAAUAGGGAAAAAACUACUCCAUUAGAGCCAUGUGAUCCCAUGGAAAAGGCAAAAACAAAACAAAACAAACAAAAGAAAUAAACAUACAAAUAAAGACCAUAGAUUAGCAUAAAGAUUUGGGUCACAAUAAUAGUGACCACACUUAAAUACAUCAAACCACUCAGCAUUCCACCUUAAGUAUAUACCUUACUUUCCAAUUCUCUUCACUAAAACAUAUCUCUUCUCCAGAAGAAUAGCACAUGUGCCAUUUUUUGGUCUAUUCUAUUUUUUUUAAAUUGAUGUAAUUUUUAUUCCCUAGCUCUGGUUGUUGAUCUCUCUCUAGCCUAACUCCUCCCCCCCCACACACACAAGGACACAAUCACAUCACAGCAUCUCUCAUAACAAAUUGGAGCUAUGUAAAACAAAACAGGAGUUUGGAAUUGCAGAAAAUACACAACUCAUUCAUCACAUAAUAUUUCUAUACCAAGAGGAGAUAUGCAUGUUUCAAUGUCAGACAGUACAGUAAUUAGUGUUCUGUACACUUGCAAAAAAAAAAAAAUGCAUCACUGAAGUCUCUGAAGUAACCAAUUUUCUUCUUAGGAAUAGGAUUUAAAAUUACUAUCAAUAACAAGGAAAUGAUAUCUUUCUUGUCGAUAAGAUAUUUUAUGGUACUCCAUUAAGGUUUUAAUUUGCCACAAUUUUCAGGUUUAGCUUCAAAUUUACAAUUGAUUAUGUGGGUAUAUAAUUAACAUAUAAGAUCACACUGAAUUUAAUGGUGAUUAAAAUAAGGAAGUCCAUUGAAGAUUCAUAACUAGAAAACUCACAAAGUAGCUAAUAUGUUCAAUUUUUGAUGCUUUAUCAAGUAUGUUACAUAUUAUUUCACAUUCAAUGAAGAAAACACACUAAGGUGUGGACAAUUAAGACCUCCUUAUUUUACAAGGGUGGUAAUCCAAUGUCAGAGAGUUUAAGUAACUUGAAAAACUUUCUAGAAAUAUCAACUAUCAGAAAAAGGAGAUCAUCCCAGAUGAUCCUGUAUUCUAUACCAAUAUUUUUUGCCCAAUAAGAAGCAACUUCAGUAACAAAAUAAGGGAUAAAAGAGAAUAUAAACAAAAGAGAUCUUUUUAAUUGCAUGAAAUGAAAAAUUUCUCAUGCAAUAAAUUUAAUGCAAUGACAAUUAAGAAACACUAAUUUUCAAAUAAUUUGGGAAAAUCUUGAUAUUUAAAUUAUAUUUGAAAUUGUGAUGAAGAGAUAAAUCUUAGAUCUUUUAUUCUUUUAUAGAUAGGAACUCAAAUAAUAUUACCAGAUUAUAUAUAUAUGUGUG